rnacentral:lncRNA from 1 species
UCGGACAUAGCGUUCCUCUUGGAUGUCAUCGAGUUUCACGGAUAUGCUUGUGGCAGCUCAGAUUGAUACAACGGUUUUUAGUUUGCACUUUGAUAGCGGCUUAAAGCGCUCGAGUGCCCGGCCGGGUGUGUUGUUCGGUGUUGGCCUUCUGAGGUGUUGUAUGUGUUGUGGUGCUUUAGGCCUGGUUGUUAGGCGCUGCUUUAGGUUUUCUCUCGGUUUUCCUUAUAAACCGAGCAUCCUUUU